rnacentral:piRNA from 1 species
UCUGAGGUUCUGCAUAACAUCUAUCCAGG